UUUCAGGUCCCAGCAUGUCAGAUCUGCAGAAGAAAAAUGUAGUUUUUAUUGUGUUAUGUGCCAUUUUGACUGCAAGUGUGAUUAUUAUAUUCGUUCUCAGUUACAUCCUUAUGAAGAAAACUUGUCACUGUUCAAAUGAUGAUAAAGGGGGUCAUGAUGAUCAGCAAAUUCAGCAGAGAGACGAGGACUCGCUGGUUUACACUGGUCCCACAUUCACCAAAAGGAAAGCUGCCCGAAUAGAGAGAAGAAACAAAGAAACAUCAGAGGUUGUCUACAGUGGUGUCAAUGGAUUAGUAUUUGAUUAAUAUCUUCAUAAAUCUGGUUGCUACUGGAUUUUUAUUUUAUUUUUUUCUUCAAUUCUUUGAAAAAGUAUUUAACCAGGUUAUAUUUUGGCUGGUUAAAUACUCCAUUUACAGUGGUGAAAACCUUAAGUCUUGUUAAAACACCUGUUUUUAUUUUUUUAUUUUGUUUUCA